UACGUAGGGACCAAGCGUUGUUCGGAUUUACUGGGCGUAAAGGGCGCGUAGGCGGCGCGGUAAGUCACUUGUGAAAUCUCUGAGCUUAACUCAGAACGGCCAAGUGAUAAUGCAGUGCUAGAGUGUGGAAGGGGCAAUCGGAAUUCUUGGUGUAGCGGUGAAAUGCGUAGAUAUCAAGAGGAACACCUGAGGUGAAGACGGGUUGCUGGGCCAACACUGACGCUGAGGCGCGAAAGCCAGGGGAGCAAACGGG
rnacentral:rRNA from 1 species